UUUCACAUCUGCAUCUUUUAAAAAAACUUAAAAAAAAACUUUCAAAGGCUCUCUCAUCUCUCCUCCCAUUUCUAUGAGCUCCGGUGAGAAUUUCGGCACCGGUAGCCACCGUCCGCCGCCGUACAAAUCUCCCCCUUUUUCCUCGGUGAUCUCAAGAAGGGUGAUGUCAGACGCGUGGAGGAGCCAUGGUGGUGUGCGGUGCACAUGGGAGAAGCGGCGGCUGGAGAGGAGGCUAGGUUUUUUGUGUCUGCUGAAAUUUUUUUUUUUAAGGUAGCGGGCUUGGGCUGUUAGGGUCUGUAAAUUGGGUCAUUUGGUUUUGGGUUUGGGUCAUUCAAUUGGGCCCGGGCAGAUUUGGGUCCCUACAAGAAGCAUUUCGUGGAAGAUGUUAUAGGUGACCUUGAAGUAAUAAUCCGUAUCUAUUAAUGCAAGUCAUGUGCUAUGGGAAUUAUCUAUAGGUUUUCUUUCAUAAGUUUGUAAGUAAUAAUCCGCGAAGAUUAUCUCUCAAGGAAGUAAUUGCAUGGGAGUCAGAAAGACAAUCAUUCAAGGAAGAAUCCGCGAGUAUAAUCCACAAAAAUGUUAAACUUCUAUAAUUCAA